AAGUUAUCCUUUGGGUGACGUUCUUUCUGGUGGUCAAAUCUUGCAUCCAAUUUCCUAUCGUCCAUUCUCUCUCUUCCUCCUCCUCCUCCUCCUCCUCUGGCUAUCUUCGUCCCUUCCUUCCUUUUAAUUAAUGUCUAAGUUAUCUUUUGCUCAAGGUUCUUUCCAGUGUGUUUGUGGUGCCCGGCUCUGCUUGCUAGUAUGUUUUGUCACUGUAUAAUUGUCAAUCCUAGUUUUUGUCACUGUAUAAUUGUCAAUCCUAGUUUUUGUCACUGUAUAAUUGUCAAUCCUAGUUUUUGUCACUGUAUAAUUGUCAAUCCUAGUUUUUGUCACUGUAUAAUUGUCAAUCCUAGUUUUUGUCACUGUAUAAUUGUCCGUCCCAGCCAGGCGCUUCUUCCAUGUAAAGAUAUUGGCAGCUUCAAGCCUUGCCGAUAUCUCAAUCCGUACGUGAAUGUAAAUUAACCGAAAUCCUUGUUACUAAGCCCUGCACGGUGCUCUCUCACAUAAUGCUUCUUUAAAUUUUCAGUCUCACUUAACUUCCGGGGUUAGUAAUAUAUUUUGCCAUGAGUUAACUCCCCGUGAUGGCCAGUUUCAUGUACUAUAUAUAAGUAAUUUGCCUUUUGCAUGGCUAUAAUUCUGCAUCCGUGUCUAAGGCCCAGUUUCACAGUUCCUCAUGAUGGGUUAGUAAGCUCCGAAACCAAUACCAGAGCCUUCGAAAUUUCCUUGUACUGUGUCUGGAGUUUAUAUUCAAGUUCACAAAUUUGAGGAGACUAUUCAGGAAAGGUCUUGUAUAUUUAUGCUACGAAGGAAAGGGAGGAGAAGGGAGAUGAGAUUGGGAGACGAGUGAGCCGAGAUCCUGUUUAUAUUAAAGUUCACAAAUUUGACAAGACUAUACAGGAAAGGUCUUAUAUUGUCAUGAUACGAAGGAAAGGGAAGAGAAGGGAGAUGAGAUUGGGAGACGAGUGAGCCAAGAUCCUGUUUAUAUUAAAGUUCACAAAUUUGACAAGACUAUACAGGAAAGGUCUUGUAUUGUCAUGAUACGAAGGAAAGGGAAGAGAAGGGAGAUGAGAUUGGGAGACGAGUGAGCCGAGAUCCUGUUUAUAUUCAAGUUCACAAAUUUGACAAGACUAUACAGGAAAAGCUGUGUUUAUGAUAUGAAGGAAAGGGAAGAGAAGGGAGAUGGAGUAAGCUGAGAUCCUGUUUAUAUUCAAGUCCACAAAUUUGACGACACAAUACAGGAAAAGCUCUUUGUAUUUAGUGUGUCAUCGAAGACCGCGCCAUUUUGAACAGUAUGGGAUUCUAUAGCUUGGUUCGGGAGUGUUACAAAGAUUGUGAUGGACUGUGGAUGCGGCCCUUAAUGUUCCCUUUUCUAAUAUGCCUCUCUGUUUUUGCAGGAUGCCGCGGACGGACCAUGCAGAGGACUCAUCGCGACGACACCAACGGUUUGGUUAAGUGGGUUCUCUUGUGUGUGCGUCUGUGUGUGAAUGGCAGGCCUGUCGUAUGAUUGUGUGUGUGUGUGCGUUGGCGGUAUGCCUUCGCACUAUUAUUUUGUUAGGAUGUAUUUUUUGUGUGUGAACUUUUUGCACGUAAUCUUUUUUUAUACCCAUAGCUAGCGUUUGUUUGUGUGGCAGUGUUCCGGGAGAUGGACGCCGGGGGACAUGGGCUUGGGGGGGCGCACAUGACCUCCUCUGUCCGUGACCUCUUCAGCUGGGGAGACCGCGUGUUGCCCCGGCUGGAGAGACACGUUGAUGGAGAAGGCCGCGUGUGUCAUCCCUUGCCUGUAUCCUCUGGCGCCCAGAGGCGCGUAAGUGGAGAGCAUCGGCGCAGCGCGGGAGCAGCACGUCAGGGUGUAGGGUGUUUGUUUAGCUGGUGUAGGGUGUUAGGGUGUUAGGUGUAACAACGGUUGGCUCUUUCACAGAACGGGUGUGAUUCCGUUCUGCGUUUGAGUCUUCCACCUUCAGGCGGUCUCCCUCCGAGAUGUCUGAAGUUUUUUUUGUCGGUUUUCUCCGUAGGAGGAAGCCGACUCUAGCUACUCUGGCCUCUCUUCCGGGGGUCAGAGCGGUCGGGCUCUGCUUGGCCAGGCGUGUUCUUUCGCGUUGUCUCCGCCGACGUUUUGCCAGACUCUUCCGUACGGUUGAGCCUGGCUUUUUUAUUAGGUGGAUCAGGCUGCCUUCUUCCAAGGAGUCUGAUGGGAGUGGAGUCUUUUUUUUGGUGUAUGUCUGUGGGUGCUCAGUGGGUAAGGGAGGGUGGGGUAGAAUGGUUGGUGGGCUGGAAGUGGGUUGGGGGAUGAACCUUCUGGGAUUUGGGUUGUGUCGAGCCUUACCGCCUGGUGUGUUGGGUACACCUUCACGCCAGGGGGGGGGUGCCAAGACUAUAUCCAUCUCCUGGGCAGGGCGAUUCCCCUUUCCCAUGCUAACUGGCCCUCCUCCGUCUGCCUCCCCAAACCCCCGCUGAGUGCUUGUGUGUUAUUUUUAUUUAGGAUGUCUUUUUUUUGUAUGCCUUUUUCCCGUGUGUUUAUACCCAAUAGCUAGCGUGUGUGUGUGUGGCAGUCCGGAGGCGCGAGGCAGCGAGGACAUCACUUCACGUCACUACGGUAUAUCCACGGUAUUUGGUUUAGUGUGUGCUGUGUGUGUGUGUGUGUGUGUGUGUGAUGGCAGGCCUGCCGUGUGUUUGACCUUUUGCUGUGUGUUGCUGUGUGACUGCUAGGAUUUCAUUUCUAUGCAUGUUUUUUUUCCCCAUAACCCCCUUCCUCCCUAGCUCUUUAGCUGUUGUCCCUGGCGAGGCGCUGGGUGGAUGCUGCCGGGCGAUCAACGGCGGUGGCGGUGUGCAACGCGGGAGCAGCUGAGGUUUAGGUAGCACUACGGUGCAGGUUAUGUAGGGUGUGUGAGUUUUUUUUUUGUGUGAGUGUCUUUUUUUUGUGUGGGGUGUUGGCGGGGGACUUAGCUAAUCACUGUGUCAGGAAGGCAUGGGCGUGGCCGUCUGUCCAUCAGGCCGACGGGCGGGUGUGCCACCUGGCAGUCAGGCUAGCAGGUGACAGGCAAGCUAUCUGGUGGUCAGGCUGUCAGUCGGGCCAUCAGAUAGGUAGGCAGGCCACCUUGCGGUCGGGUUGUCGGGCGGGCACCCCACCCUCGGUCAGGUAGGCAGGCAGCAGCGUCUACGCUGAGCCGUACGGCCACACGUACGAACGCACGGAACCCGUACGCUACGUUCCGCCGCACUGACGCUCGUCGUACCUCUGCUCGCACGCUUGCGGGCGGGUGGAGGGCGGGGGGCGGAUGGGCGGACGGGCGGGCGUACGUGGGAACGGGCGGGCGGACGGGUGGUCGGGCGGUUAGGGAGUCGGAGCAACGCUUGAAAGACGCGCAGAUAGAUGUCAGAUUCUCCCGUAGGGAGGUCUGGCAAGGUGAUAGUUUAGGCGGCGGAGUUGUACGCGGGCCAGUCUGUGUUACAGCUUUGCCGUCAGGGUAGCUCCUUACGAGCUGCCCAAACUGAGGACCAGUUUUCCUCACAGGAGGAGGCUGGUGGGGCCUAGGGUGUUAGGGGUACAACGGUUGGCUCUUUCACAGAACGGGUGUUUUCCGUUCUGCGUUUGAGUCUGCCGCCUUUGGGCGUCUCCCUCUGAGAUGUCGGUUAGGAUUUCUUUUUUUUAUAUGUCCGUGUGUGUAACUGUUGCCUUUUAGCCUGUUGUGUUCCUGAGCAGCAAGAAGAGGCGGCUGUGGUGACCCGCCCGAUGCGGAAGGCUUCUGGGCCCUGUCGGCGGGGGCGCACCUCUCUGACUGACUGGUUGAGGGAGGGCUUCCCGUCUGGCCGGCUGCAGGUUCGGUCCCAGGAUUGAACCCACGGCUUGCCAGAUGGAGGGCUGCUCCAUUGACCAGGUGGCCAGGGAAGCGCAUCCUCGCUGGGCGGGGUCUGGGGGCCCUCCGUCUUGGGGAGGUCGCUGCAGCAGGAGGAGGUAACUACUGCUGGUUUUGUAAGGCAUUGUGGUUGAGAGCACCUUGCAGCUGUAACGCGAAUUUCGUUCCGUAAUAAACAAUGUACCGCCAUGCUGCCUGUCCUUCCUCCCUCACUGCACUGUGCGUACGUGUGUGUGUGUGUGUGUUGCUCUGUCUCUGUCUCUGUCUCUCUCUCUCUCUCUCUCGUUAGUAAAGAACAGGCAACAAGAAACCUCCACGGCCGAGCUUCAACAACAGAACACCUCGUCACCGUUGAUGAGGCUCCACGCCCCGGCCCACAGCCAUGUUAGCCUCGAUAAUAGUCCUCGGCGCACUUAUUCUGAGACGUCCUGGUGAGCUGGAGAGCUACACAACACCGGUCAUCCGCUGAGUGGUUGAAUUCCUGGUCUACCGGCCCCUAGAGGAGUGGUCGAUUGCCUGGUCUACUGUGGAUAUGAGUGGUUGAUUGCCUGGUCUACCCCUGGAUGACGCGGCUGUUCCUAUGCAGGGGAGGACUCUCACAAGCGAUAAGCACCUGUCGGAUCUGGAGACUCCCCCCUGAGCCUGACGGAGCUGUGGGCCCUGCACCAGACCCCCACACCCCCCCACACCACCCACAGCAGGGGCAGGGCGUUGAGACUCCCCCCACAGGCUAAGACAGGGAGGGACUUGAAGAUCCAGGUUUUUGUCAUCUGCACAGGAAUUGACACAUGGUAUUUGGGAGCAAUGUCUAAGGUUCCGCCCAUGCAGCUGAAGGGUGCCAAUGCCUGCAUCGACCACAGGUGUGCGCUGGACAUUGCCUACAAUUCAUGGUGCAAAUGGGAGCGUCGGCGGAGAUCGAGCUGGCUGAAGGUUGGCGGCCGGGUCAAGCUCGCCUCGGACAAGGAGUUCUGUGAGAUGUGCUCGGCCGAUGUUGUUGACCUCGGCCACAUCAAUGUUACUAAGGUGGUGGAGGUGUGGAAACUACAUCUACAUUGACGACGGACUCAAGGAGAUCGCUGACUACUACUACUACUAUUACUAUUUCCUACACUCUAUACUGCUAUGUGUACUAUUAAAUCCUCUAUACUGCUACUAUGUGUACUAUUGAAUCCCUUGUAUAGUAUUUCCAUGACAACUGAUGAGUGAUCCUACUACUACUACUAUUACUAUGACCACUCAAUCCCUGGUAAGUACAAUGUCAUUAU